UGCAGUCGAGCGAGAUCUUCGGAUCUAGCGGCGGACGGGUUAGUAACGCGUGGGAACGUACCCAAAGGUAGGGAAUAGCCACUGGAAACGGUGAGUAAUACCCUAUGUGCCCUUCGGGGGAAAGAUUUAUCGCCUUUGGAUCGGCCCGCGUUAGAUUAGAUAGUUGGUGGGGUAACGGCCUACCAAGUCUACGAUCUAUAGCUGGUUUUAGAGGAUGAUCAGCAACACUGGGACUGAGACACGGCCCAGACUCCUACGGGAGGCAGCAGUGGGGAAUCUUGGACAAUGGGGGCAACCCUGAUCCAGCCAUGCCGCGUGAGUGAUGAAGGCCUUAGGGUCGUAAAGCUCUUUCGCCUGUGAAGAUAAUGACUGUAGCAGGUAAAGAAACCCCGGCUAACUCCGUGCCAGCAGCCGCGGUAAUACGGAGGGGGUUAGCGUUGUUCGGAAUUACUGGGCGUAAAGCGCGCGUAGGCGGCUAGGUCAGUCAGAUGUGAAAGCCCCGGGCUUAACCUGGGAAUUGCAUCUGAUACUGCUUGGCUAGAGUACAGAAGAGGGUGGUGGAAUUUCCUGUGUAGCGGUGAAAUGCGUAGAUAUAGGAAGGAACAUCAGUGGCGAAGGCGGCCAC
rnacentral:rRNA from 1 species